GCGGUUUCUUAAGUCUGAUGUGAAAGCCCCCGGCUCAACCGGGGAGGGUCAUUGGAAACUGGGGAACUUGAGUGCAGAAGAGGAGAGAGGAAUUCCACGUGUAGCGGUGAAAUGCGUAGAGAUGUGGAGGAACACCAGUGGCGAAGGCGACUCUCUGGUCUGUAACUGACGCUGAGGAGCGAAAGCGUGGGGAGCGAACAGGAUUAGAUACCCUGGUAGUCCACGCCGUAAACGAUGAGUGCUAAGUGUUAGGGGGUUUCCGCCCCUUAGUGCUGCAGCUAACGCAUUAAGCACUCCGCCUGGGGAGUACGGUCGCAAGACUGAAACUCAAAGGAAUUGACGGGGGCCCGCACAAGCGGUGGAGCAUGUGGUUUAAUUCGAAGCAACGCGAAGAACCUUACCAGGUCUUGACAUCCUCUGACAAUCCUAGAGAUAGGACGUCCCCUUCGGGGGCAGAGUGACAGGUGGUGCAUGGUUGUCGUCAGCUCGUGUCGUGAGAUGUUGGGUUAAGUCCCGCAACGAGCGCAACCCUUGAUCUUAGUUGCCAGCAUUCAGUUGGGCACUCUAAGGUGACUGCCGGUGACAAACCGGAGGAAGGUGGGGAUGACGUCAAAUCAUCAUGCCCCUUAUGACCUGGGCUACACACGUGCUACAAUGGACAGAACAAAGGGCAGCGAAACCGCGAGGUUAAGCCAAUCCCACAAAUCUGUUCUCAGUUCGGAUCGCAGUCUGCAACUCGACUGCGUGAAGCUGGAAUCGCUAGUAAUCGCGGAUCACAUG
rnacentral:rRNA from 1 species